rnacentral:rRNA from 1 species
GGGUCAGUAGGUUGGUCGUGCCACCGGCACGUACUGGUCCCACUGAUUCCUCCUUCCUGAAGAACCGUAAUGCCAUUAAUUUGGCGUUGCGGGGAAACAGGACUGUUACUUUGAAAAAAUUAGAGUGUUUAAAGCAAGCUAACGCUUGAAUACAUUAGCAUGGAAUAAUGAAAUAGGACGAUCGAUCCUAUUUUGUUGGUUUCUAGGAUUGACGUA